rnacentral:siRNA from 1 species
GAAAAUCAUAUUGAGGUCUAGUGA